rnacentral:lncRNA from 1 species
ACUAUCUAUAUAUCCAAAUCAAGUCAAGGCUCCUUGAUACGAGCCUAAACUAUCUAUAUAUCUAAAUCAAGUCAAGGCUCCUCGAUACGAGCAUAAACUAUCUAUAUAUCCAAAUCAAGUCAAGGCUCCUUGAUACGAGCAUAAACUAUCUAUAUAUCCAAGUCAAGUCAAGGCUCCUUGAUACGAGCAUAAACUAUCUACAUAUCCAAGUCAAGUCAAGGCUCCUUGAUACGAGCAUAAACUAUCUACAUAUCCAAGUCAAAUCAAGGCUCCUUGAUACGAGCAUAAACUAUCUAC